rnacentral:misc_RNA from 1 species
CGCACAUUGCGCCCUUUGGUAUUCCUUAGGGCAUGCCUGUUCGAGCGUCAUUUACACCCUCAAGCGCAGCUUGGUGUUGGGCGUCUGUCCCGCUUCGGCGCGGACUCGCCUCGAAACGAUUGGCAGCCACCCCGGCGGCUCUGAGCGCAGCAGAAUUGCGACUCUGGCGGCUGGAGGGGGCAUCCACGAAGCACCUCCUUCUAUUUUGACCUCGGAUCAGGUAGGGAUACCCGCUGAACUUAA